GGCGGUCUGUCAAGUCGGAUGUGAAAUCCCCGGGCUCAACCUGGGAACUGCAUUCGAAACUGGCAGGCUAGAGUCUUGUAGAGGGGGGUAGAAUUCCAGGUGUAGCGGUGAAAUGCGUAGAGAUCUGGAGGAAUACCGGUGGCGAAGGCGGCCCCCUGGACAAAGACUGACGCUCAGGUGCGAAAGCGUGGGGAGCAAACAGGAUUAGAUACCCUGGUAGUCCACGCCGUAAACGAUGUCGACUUGGAGGUUGUGCCCUUGAGGCGUGGCUUCCGGAGCUAACGCGUUAAGUCGACCGCCUGGGGAGUACGGCCGCAAGGUUAAAACUCAAAUGAAUUGACGGGGGCCCGCACAAGCGGUGGAGCAUGUGGUUUAAUUCGAUGCAACGCGAAGAACCUUACCUACUCUUGACAUCCAGAGAACUUWSCAGAGAUGGWUUGGUGCCUUCGGGAACUCUGAGACAGGUGCUGCAUGGCUGUCGUCAGCUCGUGUUGUGAAAUGUUGGGUUAAGUCCCGCAACGAGCGCAACCCUUAUCCUUUGUUGCCAGCGGUYMGGCCGGGAACUCAAAGGAGACUGCCAGUGAUAAACUGGAGGAAGGUGGGGWWGACGUCAAGUCAUCAUGGCCCUUACGAGUAGGGCUACACACGUGCUACAAUGGCGCAUACAAAGAGAAGCGACCUCGCGAGAGCAAGCGGACCUCAUAAAGUGCGUCGUAGUCCGGAUUGGAGUCUGCAACUCGACUCCAUGAAGUCGGAAUCGCUAGUAAUCGUGGAUCAGAAUGCCACGGKGAAUACGUUCCCGGGCCUUGUACACACCGCCCGUCACACCAUGGGAGUGGGUUGCAAAAGAAGUAGGUAGCUUAACCUUCGGGAGGGCGCUUACCACUUUGUGAUUCAUGAC
rnacentral:rRNA from 1 species